rnacentral:rRNA from 1 species
GAGUUUGUCAUGGCUCAGAUUGAACGCUGGCGGCAGGCCUAACACAUGCAAGUCGAGCGGAUGACGGGAGCUUGCUCCUUGAUUCAGCGGCGGACGGGUGAGUAAUGCCUAGGAAUCUGCCUGGUAGUGGGGGACAACGUUUCGAAAGGAACGCUAAUACCGCAUACGUCCUACGGGAGAAAGCAGGGGACCUCCGGGCCUUGCGCUAUCAGAUGAGCCUAGGUCGGAUUAGCUAGUUGGUGGGGUAAUGGCUCACCAAGGCGACGAUCCGUAACUGGUCUGAGAGGAUGAUCAGUCACACUGGAACUGAGACACGGUCCAGACUCCUACGGGAGGCAGCAGUGGGGAAUAUUGGACAAUGGGCGAAAGCCUGAUCCAGCCAUGCCGCGUGUGUGAAGAAGGUCUUCGGAUUGUAAAGCACUUUAAGUUGGGAGGAAGGGCAGUAAGUUAAUACCUUGCUGUUUUGACGUUACCGACAGAAUAAGCACCGGCUAACUCUGUGCCAGCAGCCG